AUGAUACAAGCGAGAUUUCACAGAUGUACUCUUCUUCCCCGUUUUAAUGGUAACAGCCUGUGAACUUCAGCUAAGUAUAUCUAAAAUUUGUAUCUUACCCUCUUAAAUAUGGUCUUAUAAACAGCAUACUUGGGACUGUGCAAGGCUUAUCCAAUCCCAGCUUCUUGGUACAUCUAUCUGUCAUUUCUCCAUUCUCCAUUGCCCUGGUCAAGGCAAUCCCAAAGCCAUGCUGAUUGAGACACUCAGGGAUCCCUUAACUGCUUUAAGUAAUAGAUCUUUCUCCACUCUUUCAUGUCUUGGCUGUGCUUGUUUUAACCUUUUGCAUUCACCAAGAUGUGAGCUCAUUACAUUUGGUUACAAAGAGAAUAAACAGUCAGAAAUGAGGUGUGGCAAAUUACAAGCCCAAAAUACACGGAACUGAUACAGGUGGAAUCUUCUAGCAUCCAUUGAUGGGAAGGGAGUUGACACUUUUUGUAAGAUAUGGCAGUGAACCAGUUAAUUACAGUUCCUGGAACUCAAAAGAAAAGCCCUGGAGCUGGGUGUGGAGUUCAGUGGUAGAAUCCUUCCCCAGCUUCUAUUCCUCAGGACCACAAACAAACAAAAACAAACUGAGCUUUGAUUGCUGCAGGCACAAAUCCCUUGGUCCUGCUGACUUGCAGCAAAAAUGUCAGACCCACUUCAAGGAUUUCACUGAUUAAGAAACUGGCACCAGCAAAUUAUUCACACAUGUAUAAGGAGUAGUAACUCCUCAUGGCAUCAACUUUGCCAGAAGUGCUGAUUUCCCAUAACUGAAUCCAACUAGAUGUUAAGAAGCAAGUGAACAUCCAUCCCCAAGGCGGAUCAGGACGGAGGUGGGGAAGGUUUCACAGUAGUAAGCUCAGCUCAGCUUACUAUCUCCUACUGGAUCUCUGAUCGAGAGGAUCUUGAACAGAAUGACAGAGAGAAUGAGCCAAAUACUUAGAGAGUGCUAAGAAAAAGAAGCUGCAACAGUAGUAAAUCACUUGCUUUGUAUGUGCAGGACAAGGAGUCCGAUCCCCAGCACCAGAAAAAAAGGAAGAGAAAGGAGACCAACAACAAGAAUUUUACUACCUGUUAUUAAUACUUGCUACUGGGACAUCUCCCAACAUGAAACCAAUAGGCCUUCAAUUGAAGACUUAGAAAAUUUUCAUCAGUAGAAAAUCAUGUCUAGCGAAUCAUGAUUGUAAUGGACCACCCAGAGUAGCAACUCUGGAGCAGCACAUCACAGUACCUGUUCUGAACAGGAUCAUUUCAAGCCUCACCCUGUAUUUUCAACAUUGGAAACACUGAGUGUACCACCAGAAAUCCAUGAUUUUAGUAGUGUUGAAGAUGAAGCCAGAAAAAUGUUGAAGUACUAUAAACAGUGUGCAAACUACUGAUGUCUCUGGCAUCCAACACCUGUGAUGUACCUCAAGGCCUGCUGAUGAGAUUCUGGGACAAGCAACCAAAAGCCAGCAAAGAAAAGCAUCAACUUGGAUUCAUUUAGGACCAGGAGGGAUUGAAGCUGGAUUCUGCACUGGUGGAGCUGGAAAUGACUGCAAAUUCAUCCCGGGCUGGAAGAGUCCCCCAGAUUGGGUAGGAAGCACUACAGACUGUUGUGCUGGUCCAGAAAUUCCUACCCACUGUACUGGAUAACCUGCGGCACCCACAGCAUUAUACUGACAAACGUGAGGCAUUCCAUAUGAUGCUAAUGGCCCAUGAAAUGAAGGGAGUGGGAGUCCUUGUGGCAAGGAAGUUGGGGCAGCUCCACGAAUUUGGGAGAGAGAAGAAAUCCAGUUUGACGUGUAUCCCAUAGUAGAUGGAGUACUCUAACAAAAAACAAAAACAAACAUAAAAACAUAACGUCAGUUCAUAUGGCACAUUCUUUUCUCAGCCUCUAUGCCUAUUCUUUUUGCUUCACUUCUAUUACAUUGAGUGAAGCACCUUUCUAUGAGUUAUGCAUGAGUAACAUUCUUUUUUUUUCUUAAAGAUUUAUUUAUUUAUUUAUUUAUUUAUUUCAUGUAUGUGGAUACACUGUAGCUGUCUUCAGACACACCAGAAGAGGGCUUCAGAUCCCAUUACAGAUGGUUGUGAGCCAGCAUGUGGUUGCUGGGAAUUGAACUUAGGACCUCUGGAAGAGCAGUCAGUACUCUUAACCACUGAGCCAUCUCUGCAGCCCAUCUUUACUUCAGCUCAUCUUCCUAACUGCCCUGCUUUUCAGUAUAGGCAUUAUUAGAUAAGGAAACAGAAACUAAAAUUGGUAAGCAACCCAAGGUCACCAAGCAACUAAGACAGGGAUUUCAACCCAUUCCAGAUAAUUCCAAGGCCCAUAUUAACUUCCUGUUCACACUUUAGCCCCUACUUUACUCAUCCUAACAGUAUUAUUUUGCUUUUAAUUCAUUCUGCCUGCCACGAAUGUUCUUUUAGACUGUAUGCAUAGAGGAAAAUAGUUCAUCUUACUUGUAUGAAUCUCUGGACAGAGGAACAUAAUCAGUGUAACAAGGGGACCUAACAUAUAGUAAAUGCUCAGUAAAUAUCUCCUCUGUUCCCUUUUCACUAUCUUAAAGCCUGACACUUCUGCUAUAAUCUUUUUAUUUUAUUUUAAUUGUAGUUUUCCUGAGUGUGUAUGUAUGUAUGCAUGCAUGUAUGUAACAUGCGUAUGUAUUAUUCAUGGAGGCCAGGAGAGGGCGCUAGAUCAUCGGGGACUGGAGUUACAGACAGAAGUAAGCCACCAUGUGGUGUUGGGAAUCGAAUUCAAGUCUUCUGAAAGUGCAGCCAAUGCUUUUAAUGCCCAAACCGUCCAUCUCUCUAGCCCUUCUGUUAUAUCCAUACACAUUUACUUUUAUUCUUGUGUGUGUGCUGUGUACAUGCAUGUGAGCUUAUGUGCAUAUAGAGGCAAGAAGUCCACUUCGGGUGUCAUUCCUCAGGUGCUAUCCAAGUUCUUUUUUGAGGCAGAGUCUGUCACUGUCCUGAAGCUCACAAAAUAGGCAAGGCUGGCUAGUUAGCAAUCUCCAAGAAUUCUUCUGUCUCUUCCUACCCAGUGCUGGUAGUUAUGCAAGCACCACACAUACUCAGCUUUUUCAUAUGGGUCCUAAGUCCUAAACUCAAGUCCUCAUACUUGCAUGCUAAGUACUUUACUGAUUAAGCUGCCUUCCCAGCCCUCUGUUCUUCUAAAUUAAACUCAAAACCACAAGACAAUUGUGUUUUGAGCAGUACUGAAAAGAUAUAUUCUUGUUUAAUAUUGUGAUUAAAUAUAUGAAUAGAGAUUAGAAUAUAUUAAUAAAGCACAUAGGAAUAAUG
ensembl:antisense A230072E10Rik RIKEN cDNA A230072E10 gene